GGCACGGUAGCGCAGUGGUAGCACUGCUACUUCACACCAAGAAGUAUGUGCGUUCAAAUCUGGCCUGGGGCC